AGCGAACGCUGGCGGCAGGCCUAACACAUGCAAGUCGAACGAACUCUUCGGAGUUAGUGGCGGACGGGUGAGUAACACGUGGGAACGUGCCUUUAGGUUCGGAAUAACUCAGGGAAACUUGUGCUAAUACCGAAUGUGCCCUUCGGGGGAAAGAUUUAUCGCCUUUAGAGCGGCCCGCGUCUGAUUAGCUAGUUGGUGAGGUAAAGGCUCACCAAGGCGACGAUCAGUAGCUGGUCUGAGAGGAUGAUCAGCCACAUUGGGACUGAGACACGGCCCAAACUCCUACGGGAGGCAGCAGUGGGGAAUCUUGCGAAAUGGGCGAAAGCCUGACGCAGCCAUGCCGCGUGAAUGAUGAAGGUCUUAGGAUUGUAAAAUUCUUUCACCGGGGACGAUAAUGACGGUACCCGGAGAAGAAGCCCCGGCUAACUUCGUG
rnacentral:rRNA from 1 species